GGGGAGAGCCCUUUGGGAGCAAGUGAGCUAAGGCUGAAGGCAGGGAGCUGGGCAUGCUCCCUUAUGUGUGCUGAAGCUGCUGCCCUUUCUGAAUCAGCUCCCAGCUUCACCCAGGGGCUGGGGACAGCAAAUUUGAGGCCUGAACUGGGCAAGAAAGAGGGAGAAAGACAAACAGAAUAGAAGAGGUCUGCAAGCUAGGGCCCAGCUGCCUGCAGGUGCUCUGAGAACUCCCAGACAGAUCAUAAAUAACCCUCUGGCCUCAGCAUGGAAGAGACUGUGCAGUGCAAGAAUGAGCUGAGGCCAAUUGAUGUCCUGGGAAAGAAGAAUGAGCUAGAGAGGACUGGGAUGCUGACUGAAGGCCUGGCCAUCACCAUUUGCCGGGCCCUGGAGCUGGUGGUGGACUUCAAGAAGGACAUCACAAUGUACAGGCACUUAGAGAAUAUCCAGCUUGUUGUCCAGGCCGAUGGGUGCUGGCUAGAGUUCAGAGCAGGAGCUGCCAGUAUCACAGUGCUGGUGUGGUAUGACCAGAACAAGAAGGAAGCUAACGUCUCCACCCCAUUUUGGAAAGAGAGGUGAAUGUAAUGGAUGUCCCCCGACAUCUCAGUCCCUCCCCAAAUAAAUGCCUCUGAUGGCUACAAAUUACAA